AUGUUAGAAUUAUCUUUUGUUUAAAAGUCUGAUGCUCCUUUAGCCUAGCAUUAUUAACUCUGGCAUGACAGAAUCAGGCCAGAUGGUUACAGGGGAGUACUGAAAGGGAGAUAUGUCAGCCCUAGAUGAAGCAGGUCUCUGUUCCCUGGGCAAACUGGCAGGAGCUGGCCUAGAACCAGCAGGAACUUUCCAGAAGCAGACUGGACAAUCAGGCCAGUUAGAACACCUGGAACCAAUUAUAGGAGCCUUCCAGAACCAAGGGAGUCAGGCUAAUCAGAACAUCUGAGGCCAAUCAAAAGUCAGUUGAGAGUGGUUUAAAGGGGCUCCUCUUCUGUUAGUUCAGGUGUGAAAGGAGGAGGGAAGGAGCCAAAGAGCUGAGAGUUAAGAGGUGUCUGAGUGAGAGCUAUGAACUGCAAAAGUACUCUGGAGUUGCUGUAUUGUUAUAUUCCCAAAGGGGAGUUUCUGGGAAGUGCCAAACACAGCCAACCUACAAAACUGAAUUGGAUCAGGACAGGAAAAGGGCCCUGAAUAUAGAAGUUCAAAGGGACUGUGGGCGAGAUCAAAAGAGUCUUGCUCUCAAGGGAAGUGAGUCAGUUGUCUGAGGGAGCCAGAAUGAAACACACUUUGCUGGGGAUGUCUGAAGAAGUCAGAUGUACUUAGGUUACCAUCUGGGAAUGGUAUAAGAGGCAUCUAUGUAAACUGUCUCAAAAUCCUUCUUGUCAAAGAUUUUUUAACUACUGCUAAAACAACAACAAGAAAAAAACUUUGGUCAUUAUACAAAGUGACAGAGACCGACGUCUGGAUCACUAUAUUCACCACUGAUCAUUGUAGCACUGGCAUUGGAAUUUUGUAACUAAUAAGUCAGUUAUAAUAAAUGUGUGUUAUAGCAAAAGUUUGGAUUAAACUUAAAUACAAGAUGUAGGCUUCACUCAGGGCCAGGCAGCUUUGAUAGCUCCAGCUCUGUUUGACGUUAGCAUGUUAAAGUGAAAGGAUGGAAUAUUGUAAUGCAUAGUGAUGUUAGUGUUAGAUAAGACCCUGUAGUAGACAGAAAGAAGUUUAAUGUUGAAAGACUAUGUAACUUUGUUAAAGUGACUAGAAGUAUCCCUUUGUUCCACGCUGCAAUUCUGUAAGUGUGUUUGUGUGAAUGAGAGAGAGAAUGUUUUAGGAGAGAUAAGUGUGAAGGCCACUGCAUGCUCAAAUGGUCAGAGGAGGGGCUGGAGACUCAGAAGCACCAAAUAACAAUCAAAGCACACUGAAAACAGACUACCCGGGCAGACUGACAAACCCUGAAGCUAGAGGCAAGCACUCCUUGAUAGGGAACCAAUCACAACUCUGCCAGAAAGACAACACCCUUGAGGGAUCAUCAGCAUACUGAUAUCAGAUGACACUGAGAACAACUUCCCAAUAAGCAUAUGUCGUAGGAUGACUGAUUGUGAUGCUGAAGGACUGACUAAGGCCUGACAAGGCAAAAUGCAUAGACUUGCAUGGAAGGAAAAUCCUAUAAAAGAUGGGGUGUCUUGUAUGGUUCUUUGGGUUCUGUCCUUCUAAGCAAGACCAUGAGCAGCAUCAGUCCGGACUGACAGGAACCCAGCUCCUUCCUUGCACCUGACCUAUCUGGCCAACAGGUUAGGCAGAGCAACAGACUGGUAACUAUUCCAUCAGUGUGUGUGUAAAUGCAUAUGUUACUUUGUUAUAUUAUCAAUAAAUGUGGCAUGUUGCCUUAUCCCCCAUAAAAAGAUCCCAUGUGCUUCUUAUAAGCAUAACAUCACCGACUUCAAAAGAGAACAUGAAGAGUAAGAACGGUGAAUACACAGGGUACUAGAGCAGGUCCUGGAGUGUAAGAGAGGCAGAAUUAUGAAACUAUGGUAAGACAGGAUGCCUGAUACCUGAGGGGGUACACUCAAGGGAACAGAUAUGUGGCUAACUCUGACGUGGGUGGUUGUAUAUGGGAUCAUGACAAGGAGGAUUUCCAGUAAGUGACAACAGCAAUAAAAACAAGUAUUGUAGAGGGAAAACCAAGAGAAAAAAUUACCUAUAUUUCUGGGAAGCAGUCAGAAAAGAAAAAAAAACCCCGAGUUAUGAAAAUGACUCAGGAAAGAUGAGCUGGAAGAGUUGUGAGUGAAAGGAAGCUAAACUCUAAAGAGCUGAAAAAAACCCCCACGGUUGGCCUGCUGUACGUACACAAAUGAUCAGAAAAGGAAUUGUGGUUCAGAAUUGGGUAAGGACUUGUGAAGAACACGCAGUUCACUGGUAGUCCAGCAGAGGUCAAGGAAACAGAGGCCAGAGCUAAGACAGUCUGAAGAUGACAAGAUCCCAGAGGGAGGUGUAGAGGAUGUACACAGUGACUGAAGAAACAACCAAAUGCUAUAAAAAGUUCCCUGAAUCAGCAGUAUAGCAGAGGAAAAGCUUCAACUGGAAGAAACUAAGCUGGUGCUGUGCCAGCAUGAGUAAGAAACAGCACAACCGUGUUAACAGGAGAGUCUGAGAAGGAGAGAAGGAUAUCCCCCUGUGGAACAUAUAAGGUGUGAGUACUAAUUUUGGGAUGAGUGUAUUUGCUUGACUGUUGUUUACAUUUUCAACUGUUUCAGGUGACUGCAGUUAUUUCAGUUAUUGUGCCAGUUGGGAUUGUGUGUUUGAGAGCAUUUGAGUCUUUCUUCUCUUGAUCAGCUUCAAUCAGCCUAGUGAUCACCCUUCCACUGUGUGGUUAAUGAGGGGGUAGGGCUGACCUAGGAGAGAAGCCCUUAAAAGCCAGAGACUACACGACCAGGGGAGCUUGUGACCAGGUGGUCGUUAACAGGAGAGUUUGAGAGGGAGUCCUAGUACAGCCAGUAUGGUUAGGAAGGGCCACAUAACUUGUGCCAACACUGCUCCUGCAUCCUCCACCAGUAGCCACCUGAUCAUGGUCAUGGUAUGGUUUUGCAGAGACUGACUCGCAUUACCAACUUACAGAAAUCUAGGCUGGGGAGACCAUCCAAUGUGAAAGGUGGCUGCUGAUGGAAUCUUUCAGGAAGUAGGUGGAGAGCUACAGGAGGAAAUGGCUAGGCUGAGGCGCAUCCAUACCCAUGAAGAAUUCCUCCAGAGUAUUCAUGUGGAGACAUCUAAAGCUGAGGACACUAUCCUGCUAUAAAGGACUACUGACAAGUAGUAGUAGUAGUAGAGUAGGAGAUGGUUGUCUCAGGAGGGACACUGGCAGCUGCUUACUUCUGGCGGCAAGCAGUUCUCUCACAUACUCUCAACCCAUCCACUGUGGUUCUGGAGAACCAUUAUGCUGCCUUGGAGGUAAGGAAUCAUCCCCUAAGGUGAGGGAGGAGGAGAAGCCAGGUAUCCCUCAACACUGGUCUGUAGCCACCACUGUGAGGAGGAAACAUAGGACAGUGGUGGAUGGAGACUUUCUUCUGAGGAGGACAGAGGCACCCAUCUGUUGCCCUGACACAACAUUCCAGGAGGGAUGCUGCUAGCCAGAGUCCUGUACCCAAGAUGCUACAGAAGGAUUGUGGAGGAUUAUUUGGCCCUCUGACUACUACCCCAUGCUACUCAUCCAUGUGGGCACUAAUGACACUGCAAUGUGUGAUCUUGAGC